UGAUGGGAGGCUAGUAGUAAUCGAUUCCCAAUUGAAAAUGGAAAUGAACCCUAACAGCAAACGGCAGCACCUACCAACAUCAGAAACCCUAAUGGAAGAAAGUGUUGAUGGAGAAGACAGAAUAUCAGAAUUGCCUGUGCAUAUCAUUCAUCACAUCUUAUGCUACACUGACCUCAGCUCGCAUGACGGGGCGAUAACUAGUGUUUUAUCGAAGAAAUGGUACUAUUAUUGGCUCUCUAGACCUUGUUUGGUGUUCCGUCAAUUUGAUGGCGAUCUGAAAGAUUUUGUCCCGGUGGUUGAUCGACCGCUACAAACCCAUGUCGAACACAACUUAAAUCUUGCAAAAUUCUUCAUGUCAUAUUGGGAUCGAGAAUUGGAUCCUCAUUUGGAUCGUUGGAUUGAAUCGGCUGUUAAAGUUGAUGUUGAGUUUAUUGUGAUUCAUGCUCCGGAUAUUGAUUCGUCGCAUUAUAGCUUGCCUGAUGCUUUUUAUAAAGCGAAGAAGAUGGAUGCACUGUGGUUAAGCAAUUGCAAGUUUGAAUUUUAUAUUAGCACCACUUGUAUAAGAUUUUGUUGUCUUCGCGAGGUUUGUUUGCAUAAUGCUUAUAUUUCAGAUGCUCAAAUGCGAAGUGUUUUAGAUAAAUGCCCAUCCAUCAGGAGCUUAACUCUAAUGUCUUGCAAAGGUAUGAGCAAAUUGUAUGUUGUUGGACGGUUACAUCUAGAUUUUUUGAAUAUAUCAUCAUGCAAACUCGAUAGUGUGAUUGUCCAAGCUCCGAAACUUGGACGCUUUAAAUAUACAGAAGAACAUACUGAUCAGGGAAAUCAUCAUCCUUGCGAAAUUGCUAUUUUGGAGGUUAACAAUACUUUACACACACUCGAGCUCAAUGGUGCCAGCAUCACAGACCAACAGUUUCGAGAUAUGUAUGACAAGUGCCCAAACAUUUCAAGCUUGUAUCUAACAAGCUGCAAUAAGCUGAAAUGUGUAGAGAUUCAGAGUGCAAAACUCAAGAAAGUCAACAUAUUUAAGUUUGAGAGUAUAGAAAAAAUGACGAUUGAAGCUCCAAAUUUGUUGCAAUUUAAUUUUGAGGGUGAGAAAAUGCCCAUCUUAUCUCUGGGACCUUCUCUUGAAAGUGUCCGACUCAAUUUCUUCUUGCCGAGUACAGUAAUAUCAAACUUUGGAGAUAUGGAUAGCAGUUGGUACACAAACCUUAAUCACUUUGUUCAAAACUUCAACUAUUCUGAAGGUUUGAUGUUAAUAGUAUAUUGCCAGGAGACCAAUAACAUCCUUUUUUAUGAAAAUACAAGAGAAAUUUUUAUUCCACCAAGUCGUAAUGUCGGGAUAUUCGUUGUACCCAUCCGGAACAUUGAAUUGCUCAUGGUAUCGAUAUUGAUCAACCGUCCCAGCAUCAUAUCCAUACUUCCAUGUACAGAUAGCAAAGCACUCCAGGUGUUUCCUGCAUUAGAGCGGUGUAUUCAUAAUCAAAUUGUGGUAACGAAUGUCCAUUAAGUACCACUUUUUUACACAAGUAUCGUGUAUUAGAAGAAGUCAUCAGUUGUACUGGGACAUCUGAGGAGGAAAUGACCUCCAUUUGGUAUACCUGGUUGAAAUCUACGCCUCUAAUUGACAAAGUGAAUAGUUUCAUGUUCAAAUGGAAAAAACAAGCUUAGACCGAAGAAUCUUGGGGAAUUCAUCAUACAGUGUUUAUUAGUGUGUUCAGAAUAAAGUUCAGUUAAUCAGCUGUUGGCUCUGUCAAAUCCAUGAAAGGUUCUUUAACCUUGCUCUAGCUCUAAAUAAAUUGUGCUCAAAUAUGUGGUUUACUUUCGUUUGUUGGAUUUUACGGGAUGAAGUUCAUCUGUUAACCAACAGCAUAAGAGGUCUUCAUUUCAUUAUUUUUUUUUCCUGGCUCUGCCUCUUCUUCACAUUCCAUUCGAUUUCUCUCAUGCUUAGACUACUUGGAGGUGAUUAAAAAGAAGUGAGCACUUGAAGUAUAUAUAUGUAAUGAUGGAUGCAUAUGCCUCCUACUUGUUCUGAAAUCUGAAGUGUAAUAUUUGAAGUGUAAUAUGUUUCUAAUGUAUAAUUUUCUUUGUCAUCUGA